UACGAGUGCCCCAAGCGUUAUCCGGAAUUAUUGGGCGUAAAGGGUGUGUAGGUGGUUUUGUUAGUCUUCUGUUAAAUUCUUCGGCUUAACCGGGGGUCUGCAAAAGAAACGGCAAAACUAGAGGAUGCGAGAGGUGUGCGGAACUCAUGGUGUAGGGGUGAAAUCCGUUGAUAUCAUGGGGAACACCGAAAGCGAAGGCAGCACACUGACGCACUCCUGACACUGAAACACGAAAGCGUGGGUAGCGAAUGGG
rnacentral:rRNA from 1 species